AUACGGAGGAUGCAAGCGUUAUCCGGAUUUAUUGGGUUUAAGGAGUGCGUAGGCGGUUUGCUAAGCGGGAGGUGAAAUGCCGGCGCUCAACGUCGGAAGUGCCUCCCGAACUGGUGGACUUGAAUGACUCUGCCGUGGGAGGAAUGUGUAGUGUAGCGGUGAAAUGCUUAGAGAUUACACAGAACACCGAUUGCGAAGGCAUCUCACGAAGGGUUGAUUGACGCUGAGGCACGAAAGCGUGGGGAUCAAACAGGAUUAGAUACCCUGGUAGUCCACGCAGUAAACGAUGAUGGCUAACCGCUGGGCUUAUCAGUUCAGUGGCCAAGCGAAAGCGAUAAGCCAUCCACCUGGGGAGUACGACCGCAAGGUUGAAACUCAAAUGAAUUGGCGGGG
rnacentral:rRNA from 1 species